rfam:Ictidomys tridecemlineatus contig076835, whole genome shotgun sequence.
GUAUGUGAGGGUGAUCUGGUCGUGACAUCUGUAACCCCAUUGAUCACCAGAGCUGAUUUGGCUAUCUGGUUGGCUAGACUGGUGUCCCUCCUUCCUCCCUCAUGGCACCCUGUACGUUCCCCCCCGAAACUUCAUGCUAGGUAGAUGAGGAUGAUCUUUCCACAUAGAGGAGGACCAUCCUUUGAUCAAGGGUAUACGAGUAGCUACACUCCCCAGCUAGAACCUCCAAACAAGCUCUCAAGAUCAAUAACUUGCUUUUGUUUUUAAUUAGAGUUGUAUUGAUACUAAUUUUAAGAAAAAAUAUUUAAAAGGCUCUACCUGGGCAUAGUAGCU